rnacentral:rRNA from 1 species
CCUACGGGAUGCAGCAGUGAGGAAUAUUGGUCAAUGGACGAGAGUCUGAACCAGCCAAGUAGCGUGAAGGAUGACUGCCCUAUGGGUUGUAAACUUCUUUUAUAUGGGAAUAAAAUGUUCCACGUGUGGGAUUUUGUAUGUACCAUAUGAAUAAGGAUCGGCUAACUCCGUGCCAGCAGCCGCGGUAAUCCGGAGGAUCCGAGCGUUAUCCGGAUUUAUUGGGUUUAAAGGGAGCGUAGGUGGAUUGUUAAGUCAGUUGUGAAAGUUUGCGGAUCAACGGUAAAAUUGCAGUUGAAACUGGCAGUGUUGAGUACAGUAGAGGUGGGCGGAAUUCGUGGUGUAGCGGUGAAAUGCUUAGAUAUCACGAAGAACUCCGAGUGCGAAGGCAGUUCACUGGACUGCAACUGACACUGAGGCUCGAAAGUGUGGGUAUCAAACAGGAUUAGAUACCCUUGUAGUC